GGCCCUUUAGCUCAGUGGUUAGAGUAGGCGACUCAUAAUCGCUUGGUCGCUGGUUCAAGUCCAGCAAGGGCCACCA
rnacentral:tRNA from 1 species